AGAGUUUGAUCCUGGCUCAGAAUCAACGCUGGCGGCGUGCCUAACACAUGCAAGUCGAACGAGAAAGUCCCGCAAGGGAUGAGUAAAGUGGCGACCGGGUGAGUAACACGUGGACAACCUGCACCGAGUGGGGAAUAACCCUGGGAAACCGGGGCUAAUACCGCAUAACACUUCUGGACCUCGGUCCGGGAGUUGAAACCCGCAAGGGGCUUGGUGAGGGGUCCGCGGCCGAUUAGCUAGUUGGUGAGGUAAUGGCCCACCAAGGCGAUGAUCGGUAGCCGGCCUGAGAGGGCGGACGGCCACACUGGAACUGAAACACGGUCCAGACUCCUACGGGAGGCAGCAGUGGGGAAUUUUGCGCAAUGGGGGCAACCCUGACGCAGCAACGCCGCGUGGACGAUGAAGCAUCUUGGUGUGUAAAGUCCUUUCGGCAGGGAAGAAAGUGGAGCAAUCCAUUUGACGGUACCUGAAGAAGAAGCCCCGGCUAACUUCGUGCCAGCAGCCGCGGUAAUACGAGGGGGGCAAGCGUUGUUCGGAAUCAUUGGGCGUAAAGGGUAUGUAGGCGGUGCGGUAAGUCUGGUGUGAAAUCCCCAAGCUUAACUUGGGAUCCGCGCCAGAGACUGCCGUGCUCGAGUGUGGGAGAGGAAAGUGGAAUUCCCGGUGUAGCGGAAAUGCGUAGAUAUCGGGAGGAACACCCGUGGCGAAGGCGGCUUUCUGGACCACUACUGACGCUGAGAUACGAAAGCCGGGGGAGCAAACAGGAUUAGAUACCCUAGUAGUCC
rnacentral:rRNA from 1 species